AGGAGAAAUGAGUUAUUUUUGGUCAAAGGUAUAAAUGAGAUUGCAUGACUGUCAGUAUCAGAUUUUUUGUCAGAGUGAAGUAUUUUUGCUUUUAGUCCGGCCAAAAUGACAGUAGAAUGUAUGGAACAGAACCUCGAUAUAACGAACAGGGUUCCCCAGUUCCUUCGUCAAAUCGAAGCCUUACGGUAGCUAUAAGCUAUUGUUUUUAAUUUACUCUC